rnacentral:rRNA from 1 species
UACGGAAGGGGGCUAGCGUUGUUCGGAAUUACUGGGCGUAAAGCGUACGUAGGCGGCUUUGUAAGUUAGAGGUGAAAGCCCGGGGCUCAACCCCGGGAAUUGCCUUUAAGACUGCAUCGCUUGAAUCGCGGAGAGGUGAGUGGAAUUCCGGAGUGUAGAGGUGAAAUUCGUAGAUAUUCGGAAGAACACCAGUGGCGAAGGCGGCUCCACUGGACGCGUAUUGACGCUGAGGUACGAAAGCGUGGGGAGCAAACGGG